rnacentral:rRNA from 1 species
UAGGGAAUCUUCCACAAUGGACGCAAGUCUGAUGGAGCAACGCCGCGUGAGUGAAGAAGGUUUUCGGAUCGUAAAGCUCUGUUGUUGGUGAAGAAGGAUAGAGGCAGUAACUGGUCUUUAUUUGACGGUAAUCAACCAGAAAGUCACGGCUAACUACGUGCCAGCAGCCGCGGUAAUACGUAGGUGGCAAGCGUUGUCCGGAUUUAUUGGGCGUAAAGCGAGCGCAGGCGGAAUGAUAAGUCUGAUGUGAAAGCCCACGGCUCAACCGUGGAACUGCAUCGGAAACUGUCAUUCUUGAGUGCAGAAGAGGAGAGUGGAACUCCAUGUGUAGCGGUGGAAUGCGUAGAUAUAUGGAAGAACACCAGUGGCGAAGGCGGCUCUCUGGUCUGCAACUGACGCUGAGGCUCGAAAGCAUGGGUAGCGAACAGGAUUAGAUACCCUGGUAGUCCAUGCCGUAAACGAUGAGCGCUAGGUGUU